UGAAUUUAAAUGGAAAAAAAAUUAGUGGUAUUCUUCAUUUGACUGUGUUGGAUUUAUCUGGAGGGAGGUAGAAUUAGGAAGGCAUUUUAAAUUGUGCUCUAUAAUGCAUCCAAUUUUGCAUUACACCAGUAAGAUAUUAUUCUUUAUGUUUCUAGGAAAGAUGGAUCAAAAGAACCAAUAGUGGAGAUGAGAACAGAGGAUGAAAGAAUUACUAACCAUGAAGAUGGGAGCCCUGUGAAUGAACCAAAUGAAACCACGCCACUGACAGAACCAGAAAAAUUGCCUUUAAAAGAAGAAAAUGGGAAAGAAGUCCUAAACCCAGAAACUAUAGAAAUUAAAGUUUCUAAUGACAUCAUUCAAUCAAAAGAAGAUGACAGCAAAGCAUAACAACAAUAUUAGAGUGGCUUGAACAGCAUCAUACAGAGCAUUUGGAUUGCAGUGACCCUAUGACCAAAACUAUUCCAUUGACCUUAAUUUCUUGGGAAACUUCUAGCUUGGAAUAGCUUGUACACAUAUACACAUGAUCAAAUACUCCUGCCCAUUGCCCAUUUCCUUUUGUUGUUGUUGUUGUUGUUGUCAUUGUUUUUUAUUUUGUUAAGAAUUUCAAUAUAGAGAACAGACUGGCACCAGUUCUUGUGUAUCAAUUCGAUUCUAUGAUUAAAGUAUUGCAGUUUAUUAUAUGGCUAAAGUGCUCUUUUUUGUAAGAAUUGUAUUUCAUACCACGAACAAAUAUAUGUCAGCCUCUGUAACAGGGGUUUAAGUAAAAGCAAACCGAACAAAAGCUUUGUGAGCUAACUUGUAAGAAAGCCCUGCAUGUUUAGGAAUCCCAUCUUGGGCAAAUAGGUUAUUGAAGUGUCUUUCAGCUUAAGGGAAAGGCACUUAAUGAAGGUUACACUUUUUAUCAAGGACAUUUCAGGGAACCUGGCCUUGAAGGAGCCAGUUAUCUUUAGCAGACACUAAAAACUGAGAGAAACUUUGGAGAACACUUUUCAAGUUACGAUUACAGUGCAUUUUUGACAUUGAUUUUUGAUAAACUGAAGUGCCAGAUGAAAAUUGUUACCCAUUUGAAAGAAUAUUAGUUGUAUGUAAAAUUAGAUUAAAAAGACUCCCUAAAUCUCUAUCUCUUCAUAUAUAUGUCAUUCUCACUCACAAUGGAUUACACAAGAAAUAAAUGUAUUGUAAGUGAAAAUAAUAUUGAUUUCUGCCCACAGCUUCAAAUAAAGUAAAUUGAAAUGGGAACAAUAUCAA